rnacentral:rRNA from 1 species
AGUGAACGCUGGCGGUAGGCCUAACACAUGCAAGUCGAACGGCAGCACAGUAAGAGCUCGCUCUUACGGGUGGCGAGUGGCGGACGGGUGAGGAAUACAUCGGAAACUACUUUUUCGUGGGGGAUAACGUAGGGAAACUUACGCUAAUACCGCAUACGACCUACGGGUGAAAGCAGUGGAUCUUCGGACCUUGCGCGAUUGAUUGAGCCGGUGUCGGAUUAGCUAGUUGGCGGGGUAAAGGCCCACCAAGGCGACGAUCCGUAGCUGGUCUGAGAGGAUGAUCAGCCACACUGGAACUGAGACACGGUCCAGACUCCUACGGGAGGCAGCAGUAGGGAAUAUUGGGCAAUGGGCGCAAGCCUGAUCCAGCCAUGCCGCGUGGGUGAAGAAGGCCUUCGGGUUGUAAAGCCCUUUUGUUGGGGAAGAAAAGCAGCAGGUUAAUACCCCGCUGUUCUGACGGUACCCAAAGAAUAGGCACCGGCUAACUUCGUG